ensembl:lncRNA
AUUAUUCAAGUUGGUGUUGUUAUUGUGUGUAAAGUUGGUGCUGUUAUCCAUGCGGUUGCUAUGUGGAGUGUUUAGACCUGAGCCCGUCAUCAACGUCACGGAUUAAGGAGUCACGUGACCGGUAAAGGAGGCCGUGUAGAAGACCUUUGGUCAAUGGAAUAAAACGGAAAAAUGUAUCAACCGAACCAAAGCGUGGAAGUCUGUUUUCUCUACACCUGCUGAACGCCAGGUACCACAUACCUUCAUUAAAAUCAGAUGCAUCUGAGCCUCAGCAGCUGCUGUUAAUGGCUACACAAUGAAGGCCCAAUUACAGAUAAUUAGGUAGGGUGU